UAGGGAAUCUUCCACAAUGGGCGAAAGCCUGAUGGAGCAACGCCGCGUGUGUGAUGAAGGGUUUCGGCUCGUAAAACACUGUUGUAAGAGAAGAAUGACAUUGAGAGUAACUGUUCAUACGUUGACGGUAUUUAACCAGAAAGUCACGGCUAACUACGUGCCAC
rnacentral:rRNA from 1 species